AUGAAGACGUCCAUUGGAGCUUUGUUCAUGUUCUUGUGGCUGUUGCUGGACCGGGUCAGCCAUGGAGAGAAAGUGGAUCAGCAUCCUUCUACCCUGAAUGUCCAGGAGGGAAACACCGCUGUUAUCAACUGUUCUUAUUCAGAUAGUACCUCAAGUUACUUUCCUUGGUAUAAGCAAGAACCUGGAAAAGGUCCCCAGCUCAGUAUAGACAUUCGUUCAAAUAAGGACAUAAACGAAGAUGAAAGACUCACUGUUUUCUUGAAUAAGGCGGCCAAACAUCUCUCCCUGCACAUCACAGCCACCCAACCUGGAGACUCAGCCGUCUACUUCUGUGCAGCGAGUACACAUUGCUUCCCAGGCACCUGCAUCCUGUACACAAACCUGCGAGGGGGCAGCCCCCUCUGCCUGGGACAGACCUGCAAGCACAGCAUUUGUGAAAUUGUCUGCAAGUGGAAUCUAAUGUGUUGUAUGUUAAAAACACAUAAUAGGAAGGUUAGUUUCAAGAUGACCCAGGAAGUGUUAAAAUAUUUUGUUGAAUGGCUAUUGCAUAUGGAUUCUUGA